CGCGUCCCUUCGUCCCGCUGCUUUAAAGAGUGGCCAUAAUGGGCUUCCGGCGUUGGGAGGUUGCCCGCAAUGCGUAAGCCGGCCAGCCGGGGCUUAGUUUGGAAUCGAGGGGAGAUCCAUGCUGGAGAGGUUUAAGAAUCGUCGAGCGCAUCAGCGCGAAGGAUCUCUGCGGCCAAACGCUAGCAGGAAUCACAGACUGGACAAAGAGUGACACCCUCAAUUUCCACACCACCAGAUGAUACCUAAAACUGAAAAACCAACACAUAGCAAAAUAAAGCAAGUUAUUUAGUGAUAUGGAGAUACCAUUUUUGCUACUGCUAACAUCAGAUAUGAACUCAGAUUCUACUGCACUUCCUCAAGAUCUACUGAAUAAUGAGAUGAACAGAUCAUCUUCAGCAUUUUAAGUCUUACCUUCAUUAUCAUAGGAGCCAGCCACAGAUCGGGAGAUAUAUCCAGGAACUACAGCAAUCAUGGCAGCAGCAAGAAGCCCAGCCCCUGCGUCCUUUAAGAAAAGAGGGGUAACAGGAAGUUAACAUCAUUCACUCCUGACAGACGAGGAUCCACUUGUCCAUUCUACUUAAAAUGGGCCAAGAGAACAGUCCAACAGUUUCCAAGGUAGAAGUGAUGCUAGAAGUGCUAGAAAUGUUCACAGCACGAGAAAGCUAAAAACUUCACAAGCAAUUCCCCAUGAUAAGACCAGUUUCUCUGAAACGGAAUACACAUCUGCUAAGGACAGACAAAUUAUGUAAGCUGUCAGACAUCAUACACUGCCCCAGAAUGGGCUGUUUGGCUGGAGUAUUCCCAGGCUUAUGAAUACUAUCCCUAACAAUAUCUGCACACUGCUGAACAGUCACACCUCUAAAAGGUAUGCAAGGAUAAUCAAAGGAAGACAAUUAUUACCUAGUCAAAAAGCCAAAAGGUGAUCAUCUAUCUGGACUAAAGCUGACAGGAGCUUGGAUAAUCAAGUUGUAAUAUCACAAAGCAAUCUGUGAGCUCAGAAGAGAGGAACAACAAAAUAUAACUCAUCACUCCAAAAGCGAGUAAGGACUUGUCUGUUGAAAGAGUCAGAUUUGGAAGAAGGGCAGCAAAGAGAAGGAUGAAAAGGUUUCCAAACUAAACUCAAGUGUCCCAAGACCUCCUACUAGUUUAUCACCUCUCAGGUAUCUCCCUGACACCAUAGCCACAAACUAAGAAUAGCAUCCAAGAAGCCAGGAUCAGCAAUCUGAAACCUAGAAAUAGAGAGUCAGUACUGUGAAGCCUACUACAACAGUGGUUUAAUAAUUGUUAAAUAAUGUUUAAAAAAAUCAACAAAUAAUGGCUAAAUGUGCACUGCCAGUAGGAAAUAUUAACCAUUUUGGAACACUUCCUGUGUUUUUCCUCUCCCUUAGGUUGUAAGAACUUCAAAAUCUAAAGCUCACAUUUCACAUUUUAAAUGUUUUUCUUUUCCUUAUGUAGAAAUUUACAUUUGGCCUUCAAAUGUUCUCUCUAAGAACAAACAGUUGUUAAUACAGAGAAACCACAUAUUCUAAGGAAGGGACUGGAGUGAACCCAGUAAUUCAGCCUCGCCAAAGCUGUCUUUAGUCUCUGGCUCCCUGCCCUUCUCUGGCCCUUGGUCCCCCACCCUCUAGCAUCUACUAGAGGGGUUCAACAUUCAUUCCCAAGCCUAUCACCCCAAAUCCUUCACCUUGAGCUCUUUGGUAAGGUGGUACGUGACGAUAGUGGUGAAGGAAGAGAAGAGAGGGGCCAGGAACACACAGACAUUCCGAAUGUCGAUGGUGAUGUGGAAAAAAUGGAGUACAUGGUAGAUUGCAGCAGAAGUGAUCAUUAAGCCUGUAACAGGAAGAAGAAAACCCAUUUGGUUAUCUUAGUGAGACAAUGAACUUAAGGGAAAAAGAAAGAGAAAACCGAAGUAUCAAUAAAGUGGUAACACAGACCCAGACAAACCAUCAGAAAUACUAACACAGAAACUGUGGUAGGCCUAUAAAUUCCAGAAUUUAUGAAAAUUCAGCCAUCCCCAACUCCCAGACAUGUUCUCCUGUAUACAUAAGAUCCAUUUUUAGGAAUCUAUAAUCAGAAUGAAGUUACAGUCAUCACAAAACGAAGAUAUUAAAAAUAAGGGAAACUGCUCCAUAAUAUAGAAAUGCCUUCUCUUAAAAAAUUUUUUUAAAAUCCUGUUCCUCUCACCUGGAUAAAUUGUUCCUCCAAUGAUUCGUCCCAAAGGGUACCAGGCCCGGUCAUCAAACCAGUUAUGGAAUUUAUAAAAUCCCUCUUCAGCCAGGAACCGGGUAGUCCGAUAAUUAAAGUAUCUAUGGCAAGAAAGAAAUGAUGUGGGUCUCCUCCCCUUCGUACUCAAACACUUGUACCAAUUUGAAGAGAAUUUUGUUCCUCAGGUUUCACCACUGAGAAACUUAACUAUUACUCUAAUAAAAAUCAAUUUGGUACCAAAAA